rnacentral:rRNA from 1 species
UGAGGAAUAUUGGGCAAUGCCCGCAAGGGUGACCCAGCAACGCCGCGUGGAGGAUAAAUGUCGUAAGAUUGUAAACUCCUGUUAGAGGGGAAGAAUAGUACCGGUUGGACCGGUAUAUGACUGUACCCUCAGAGAAAGCCCCGGCUAACUACGUGCCAGCAGCCGCGGUAAUACGUAGGGGGCAAGCGUUAUCCGGAAUUACUGGGCGUAAAGGGUGCGUAGGCGGUUUAUCAAGUCAGGGGUGAAAGGCUACGGCUCAACCGUAGUGAGCCUCUGAAACUGGUGAACUUGAGUGUAGGAGAGGAAAGUGGAAUUCCCAGUGUAGCGGUGAAAUGCGUAGAUAUUGGGAGGAACACCAGUGGCGAAGGCGACUUUCUGGACUACAACUGACGCUGAGGCACGAAAGCGUGGGGAGCAAGCA